rnacentral:tRNA from 1 species
CUACGGACUUCAAACCCGGGGGCGACGU